rnacentral:lncRNA from 7 species
CUGAUAACAGCUGAUUUAAUACCAAACUUAAGAACAAGAAUACAGUGUUUAAAGCCAUACAGUGUUUAUUGAGAAUGUAAGGGCCUUAUCCAGAGCCUGUUGAAAUCAUUGAAAGUCUCUAGUAAUGUUGUUGUCAGUGGACCAGAAGGGAUCCUGUACGCCCAGCCCUUCUCUGGCUGCUCCAAGGCCAUGAGUCUGAGAGGGUAUCGGGGAGAUCUGGGGUCUCAGUGAUUCACGGUCACUGCUGUUUGAGAUGUAGACGCGAGGAAUUAACCAGCAGCUUCUAGUCUCCAUUGAAGUGGCUGCUGUUGUCUGAAGAGGGACAAGUAGAUUGACAGUGCUGAGCUCCCCCGUCCCUGGAGAAAUUACACCACGGAGUGCCCCGUGCAACCGCUGCUUUAACUUCUGUGGCUCCAACUGAAACAAUGCUGAUGUCCUUCUGUGCAGAUCUUACACCACUUUGGGUCAUUACAGGAGGACAGGAGACUGCACCUGAGAGUGUUCAUAUGCAUGGGAGCACCCUGCCUCUUUCAGAGCCCGCUCCUUGGUGCCAAGGCGAGUUGGUACUGCGUUGUUGCCCAGAUCCUUACCUGGGCACCGCAGCAGCGCCGGGGCCGUGUCCGUCUGCAGGAGGAGCUCGGGCUGCCUGGGGGAGCCGCAGGAUCCCUUCGGUAACGAGC